rnacentral:rRNA from 1 species
GAUGAACGCUGACAGAAUGCUUAACACAUGCAAGUCAACUGUGGCGGACGGGUGAGUAACGCGUAAAGGACUUGCCUCACAGAUAGGGACAACAUUUGGAAACGAAUGCUAAUACCUGAUACUGUGAGAGAGCUUUGCGUCCCAUUCGCUAGUUGGAGAGGUAACGGCUCACGAAGGCGAUGAUGGGUAGCCGGCCUGCGAGGGUGAUCGGCCACAAGGGGACUGGGACGCAGGCCUUACGCAGACGGGAGGCAGGAGUGGGGAAUAGUGGACAACGGACCAAAGUAUGAUCAAGCAAUUCGGUGUGCAAGAUGAAGUUUUCGGAAUGUAAAGUGCUUUCAGUUGGGAAGCAGUACCAGCAGAAGAAGUGCCGGCUAAAUACGUGCCAGCAGCCGCGGUAAUUC